UGGAGGGCAGAGAUUUUCAUUAAGGGCAGAGAUUUUUAAGAAUUAUGUAAAAAAAUCCAUACUGAAUCAUGUAAUAGCAGUCCCCCAUGUUUGCCUUUAACUAGUUGUCCAGAAUAGUAAAAUUUAGUUAACUACUUUGCGUUCUUACUAUAGAAAAUCAAUUUUCUUCGUCUUAGAAACAACUUAAUUUGCAAGUUUGGUUUAUUUCUUUUAAUUUAUAAGAAUUUAUAGGUUUCUGUAAAAUUCACAAACAAAGUAUUGAUGAACCGCACAAAGUAGAGAGGAUUACCUAGUUCGAGUAUUAAAAGUUUUAGGUGGAGGAUAAGUGUAGGAAUUGUAAUUUGUUAUAAAAAUAGAAUGAUAGUUAUUGUUUUUUAACGAAGUGUAUUAUGUAUAUAAGACUCUAUAUGCUUUGUAUCCGUACAAAAUAAAUAAAACUAGUGACAAAGAGUGGUUGGAAAUGAGAGAGAUGUCAUGACUCAUGGGCCGACCUUACCUUCCAAUGUACAGAGACAGAUUGCAACAUACACCGGUCAUCCCGAAAGUUGUUCUAACUACCUAUUUUGUAAUUACCAUGCUAACCUCCUCAUUUUCUGUGUUUAGCAAAAAAACAUAUCAACCACUAAUAUGUUAAUCUCAUUAGAAAGUAAAUUAUUCUAGUAACGUG
rnacentral:lncRNA from 1 species